rnacentral:rRNA from 1 species
UACGUAGGGUGCAAGCGUUGUCCGGAAUUAUUGGGCGUAAAGAGCUCGUAGGCGGUUUGUCGCGUCUGCUGUGAAAACUCGGGGCUUAACUCCGGGCCUGCAGUGGGUACGGGCAGACUAGAGUGCGGUAGGGGAGACUGGAAUUCCUGGUGUAGCGGUGAAAUGCGCAGAUAUCAGGAGGAACGCCGGUGGCGAAGGCGGGUCUCUGGGCCGUAACUGACGCUGAGGAGCGAAAGCGUGGGGAGCGAACAGG